rnacentral:rRNA from 1 species
CCUACGGGUGGCAGCAGUGGGGAAUAUUGCACAAUGGGGGAAACCCUGAUGCAGCGACGCCGCGUGGGUGAAGAAGUUUUUCGGUAUGUAAAGCUCUAUCAGCAGAGAAGAUAAUGACGGUACCUGACUAAUAACCCCCGGCUAACUCCGUGCCAGCAGCCGCGGUAAUACGGAGGGUGCAAGCGUUACCCGGAAUAACUGGGUGUAAAGGGGGCGUAGACGGGAGGGCAAGUCUGGUGUGAAAGCCGAGGGCCUAACCCUAGAACUGCAUUUGAAACUGCGAUGCUGGAGUGUGGGAGAGGUAAGUGGAAUUCUUAGUGUAGGGGUGAAAUGCGUAGAGAUCAGGAGGAAUACUAGUGGCGAAGGCGGCCUACUGGAACGUAACUGACGUUGAGGCGCGAAAGCGUGGGGAGCAAACAGGAUUAGAUACCCUUGUAGUC